UAACCUUUUUGGAGCCAGCCGCCUAAGGUGGGAUAGAUGAUUGGGGUGAAGUCGUAACAAGGUAGCCGUAUCGGAAGGUGCGGCUGGAUCACCUCCUUU
rnacentral:rRNA from 2 species